UCCUACGGGGGACAGCAGUGAGGAAUAUUGGUCAAUGGUCGGGAGACUGAACCAGCCAAGCCGCGUGAGGGAUGAAGGUACAGAGUAUCGUAAACCUCUUUUGUCAGGGAACAAAGGCGGGGACGUGUUCCCGGAUGAGUGUACCUGAAGAAAAAGCAUCGGCUAACUCCGUGCCAGCAGCCGCGGUAAUACGGAGGAUGCGAGCGUUAUCCGGAUUUAUUGGGUUUAAAGGGUGCGCAGGCGGUCUGUUAAGUCAGCGGUCAAAGCCCGGGGCUCAACCCCGGCCCGCCGGUGAAACUGGCAGU
rnacentral:rRNA from 1 species